UCGAGAAUCUUCGGCAAUGGACGAAAGUCUGACCGAGCGACGCCGCGUGCGGGACGAAGGCCUUCGGGUUGUAAACCGCUGUCGUAGAGGAUCAAAGGUAUGAGGGUUCUCCCUUGUAUUUGAGUGAUUCUAGGAGGAAGGAGAGGCUAAGCUCGUGCCAGCAGCCGCGGUAAGACGAGCUCUCCAAACGUUAUUCGGUAUCACUGGGCUUAAAGAGUUCGUAGGCGGCUUUGUAGGUGGGGUGUGAAAGCCCUCGGCUUAACCGAGGAACUGCGCCCCAAACCACAAGGCUUGAGGGAUAUAGGGGUAAGCGGAACAGAUGGUGGAGCGGUGAAAUGCAUUGAUAUCAUCUGGAACACCGGUGGCGAAGGCGGCUUACUGGAUAUUUUCUGACGCUGAG
rnacentral:rRNA from 1 species